UGUUUCGGCUAGGGGGUCAUCCCGACUUACCAACCCGAUGCAAACUACGAAUACCGAAGAAUGUUAUCACGGGAGACACACGGCGGGUGCUAACGUCCGUCGUGAAGAGGGAAACAACCCAGACCGCCAGCUAAGGUCCCAAAGUCAUGGUUAAGUGGGAAACGAUGUGGGAAGGCACAGACAGCCAGGAUGUUGGCUUAGAAGCAGCCAUCAUUUAAAGAAAGCGUAAUAGCUCACUGGUCGAGUCGGCCUGCGCGGAAGAUGUAACGGGGCUAAACCAUGCACCGAAGCUGCGGCAGCGACACUAUGUGUUGUUGGGUAGGGGAGCGUUCUGUAAGCCGUUGAAGGUGGCCUGUGAGGGUUGCUGGAGGUAUCAGAAGUGCGAAUGCUGACAUAAGUAACGAUAAAGCGGGUGAAAAGCCCGCUCGCCGGAAGACCAAGGGUUCCUGUCCAACGUUAAUCGGGGCAGGGUGAGUCGACCCCUAAGGCGAGGCCGAAAGGCGUAGUCGAUGGGAAACAGGUUAAUAUUCCUGUACUCGGUGUUACUGCGAAGGGGGGACGGA
rnacentral:rRNA from 1 species